rnacentral:rRNA from 1 species
GACGAACGCUGGCGGCGUGCCUAACACAUGCAAGUCGAACGGGGGUAUUUAUUUCGAUGAAUACCUUAGUGGCGAACGGGUGAGUAACGCGUGAGCAACCUAUCCUUAAGAGGGGGAUAACAUCUGGAAACAGAUGCUAAUACCGCAUAAGACCACACUGCCGCAUGGCAGAGGGGUCAAAGGAGCAAUCCGUUUAAGGAGGGGCUCGCGUCCCAUUAGAUAGUUGGUGAGGUAACAGCUCACCAAGUCAGCGAUGGGUAGCCGAGCUGAGAGGCUGAUCGGCCACACUGGAACUGAGACACGGUCCAGACUCCUACGGGAGGCAGCAGUGGGGAAUAUUGGGCAAUGGGGGGAACCCUGACCCAGCAACGCCGCGUGAGGGAAGAAGGCCUUCGGGUUGUAAACCUCUGUCAUUAGGGAAGAAGAAAGUGACGGUACCUAAUGAGGAAGCCCCGGCUAACUACGUGCCAGCCGCCGCAGUAAGAC